AUUGAACGCUGGCGGCAGGCCUAACACAUGCAAGUCGAGCGGAUGAAGGGAGCUUGCUCCUGGAUUCAGCGGCGGACGGGUGAGUAAUGCCUAGGAAUCUGCCUGGUAGUGGGGGAUAACGUCCGGAAACGGGCGCUAAUACCGCAUACGUCCUGAGGGAGAAAGUGGGGGAUCUUCGGACCUCACGCUAUCAGAUGAGCCUAGGUCGGAUUAGCUAGUUGGUGGGGUAAAGGCCUACCAAGGCGACGAUCCGUAACUGGUCUGAGAGGAUGAUCAGUCACACUGGAACUGAGACACGGUCCAGACUCCUACGGGAGGCAGCAGUGGGGAAUAGUGGACAAUGGGCGAAAGCCUGAUCCAGCCAUGCCGCGUGUGUGAAGAAGGUCUUCGGAUUGUAAAGCACGUUAAGUUGGGAGGAAGGGCAGUAAGUUAAUACCUUGCUGUUUUGACGUUACCAACAGAAUAAGCACCGGCUAACUUCGUG
rnacentral:rRNA from 1 species